rnacentral:rRNA from 1 species
UACAGAGGUCCCAAGCGUUGUUCGGAUUCAUUGGGCGUAAAGGGUGCGUAGGCGGCGCGGUAAGUCGGGUGUGAAAUCUCGGAGCUUAACUCCGAAACUGCAUUCGAUACUGCCGUGCUUGAGGACUGGAGAGGAGACUGGAAUUUACGGUGUAGCGGUGAAAUGCGUAGAUAUCAGGAGGAACACCGAUGGCGAAGGCAGGUCUCUGGGCUGACACUGACGCUCAUGCACGAAAGCAUGGGGAGCAAACAGG